AUGCUCCUGUUUCUGUUUAGCACCUUUGCUAGCUUUAUGUCCUGGUCCACGAGCCGUAGCUGGUUCCUCUUCCGAGGAGGGAGGGGGCUGUUGCCAUGGAGACAUUACGCACAGGGUGUCCGUGACAGUAACCAUCCAGUGCAACUUAAUAGCAUAGAAACCAAAAGAAAACUGACUGAUGAAAUGGCUUCUUGCCUGGUCCCUGAGUUCCCGGCUGUCUCGGAUGCUUUGGAGCAUUUAAGGGAACUGGACAACGAGCUGAGAGAAGAUGGGAUGGCGUUCUCAGCCGAAGCCAGCGUUCACCUGUCAGGAAUGACAGCUGCCAUUACUGAGCUCGAAGGUUACCGGCGUGCCGCUCAGGAGAGUCUAGAAGCAGAGAAGACAGCGAACGGCACGUUGGCACGUCACAUCGACGAAGCCAAAGAAGCCGCGAGACGGGAAAUAACGGCUGAUGUCGCAGAAGGUCGAGCAUCCAGAGCUGCAGAGGUAGAUGGGCUACAGAAGCAUCUCGUGGACGUCUCGCAGCUGCGAGAUGCCAUCGAGGAGAGGCAAAAGGACCUCAUGAGGCAAAAUGGAACGCUGGACCAUGAGAAAGAGCGAGUGGAGGCGGAACUUGAAGCCCUGGUUGCUGCUCUGAAUGAUCAGCUCAGCAUGAAAAAAGGGUUGCAGACGCAGCUGGAGCAGAGCCGGGAGCAGACGGAGGUGUUGGCAGGAGGCACCGUCGCAGCAGAACGGGACAAAAUCCAGCUGCGGGAACAGAUGGAGGUGGAGAGGGAGGCUCUCGCUGCGGCACGGCAACAUCUGGACAGAGAGGUGCAGCAGGUGGAGGAAGAGAUCAAGCAGCGGAUGGAAGAAGUCCGGAGGAGGAGGACGGAGUUGGGCAGAGCUCUUGGAAAGAAGCAAGAGACCCAGGAACAUUUAAGGGAACUCAGCUCUCAAACGGCCAUGUUGGAGAGCAGUCUACAGAGGGUGACAGAGUCUCGGUCCAGGUGUGAGAAACAGCUGGAAGGUGAGACUCAAAAGCACCAACAUCUGAAGGAAAAGAAGGAGGUGCUGAAGAAGGAUCUGCAGGAGUCGAAGGUCACCUCCAGCUCUUUGAUCCAGCACCUCAGUGAGGAAAUAAGCAGGAUGGAAAGCGAAAUAGAGGAGGGCCAGGCAUGGCGGGGGCGUCAUCGAGACUCCCUGGCUCAGAUCCAUCAGACGCUGAAGCAACAGCAGGAGGAGGAGCGCCGAGCCAGGGCAGAGGGCUUCAGAGUGGUGCAGCUGCUGCAGAGGUCCAAGCUGCAGCUGGACCAACGUGUCGCCUGCAUCAGCCACCACAGGAAAGAGGUGAGGGAGAUGGAGGAGCAGAUGGCGGCCCUCCGGCAGGCCGGCGUGCUCGGCAAACGCACGCUCGAGAGGGAGCUCCAGGAGAUGAGCACCAGCGUGGAGGCACACGGGAGGACCAUCCACCACUUUGAAGAGGAGAGAAAACAGCUAGCGGAGCUGCUGGACACAGGGAGGAGGAAACAGGAGGAGCACGUGGCCAAGCUGACCUCUGAUAUCAGGAGCGCCAGGAGGAGAUACCAGGAGCUUCUGCAAGAGGAGGCGGCGCUUCAGAAGCAGCAGCGGCCUGGGAGCAUGGACGCGGACCUGCUGGCGAGACGCCUGGAGCAGCGCAAAGCCAAGUACGGUGAAGAAGAGGCCAGGCAGCGUGAGGAGGUGGAACAGUACGCUGCAGAUGCUGAAGGCAUCUGCCAGGGCAUCGAGGAAAAACAGAGGCAGGCGGAGGAGGAGGAGAAGAGGCUAAAGGAGGCAGAAGCAAUGUGGAUGGAGGAGGAGGUGAGACACAGGGGGAUGGAAAGAAUGGUAGAGGAGUUAGAGAAGAGGGAAGCUGAGCUGGGGCGCACGCUUCUGGAGCUAAAGGAGAAGACCAGCUCUCUGCUCCAGCCCAGAAGUGAGCUGAAGGCUCAGCUGGAGGAGGUCCAGCGACGCUACAUGGGGAUGGUUGAAAACCAAAUGUCCGAGCUGAGACACGCAGAGAGGAGCAUUUAUGAGUGCCUGGUGAAGGAGGAGCAGGUCAGGCUGGAGAACAGCAGGUUCCGCCUGAGCAUCACGGCGAUGACGGAGGACGUGGGCCGAGCUGAGGACGAUGGAGACAGAUACCAGGAGGAGACGCGUCUCCUCAGGCAGGAGGUGCGGGACGUGUUGGACGGCUUACGGGAACGCUGGGGAGAGGACGUGUCAGUACUGCGGGACCAUCAGCGCAGGGACGGUGAUCUUCUGACAGCCAUGAACAUCACCAGGAAGCGUCUGAAAACCAGGAGGGAGCAGCUGGAAAAUCUCAGCACCCGUUUGGAGCAGCAGGUGCUGGCGUUGAGCCCUCAACUGGGAGGCGGAGCCAUCCCAGUGCGUUCCCAGUGUCUGUCUGCCGGAGUGUGA
rnacentral:lncRNA from 1 species